UUCCGUAAGGGUACCUGCGGAAGGAUCAUUACAGAGUUCAUGCCCGAAAGGGUAGACCUCCCACCCUUGUGUAUUAUUACUUUGUUGCUUUGGCGAGCUGCUCUUCGGGGCCUUGUAUGCUCGCCAGAGAAUAUCAAAACUCUCUUUUAUUAAUGUCGUCUGAGUACUAUAUAAUAGUUAAAACUUUCAACAACGGAUCUCUUGGUUCUGGCAUCGAUGAAGAACGCAGCGAAAUGCGAUAAGUAAUGUGAAUUGCAGAAUUCAGUGAAUCAUCGAAUCUUUGAACGCACAUUGCGCCCCUUGGUAUUCCGGGGGGCAUGCCUGUUCGAGCGUCAUUUCAACCCUCAAGCUCAGCUUGGUAUUGAGUCCAUGUCAGUAAUGGCAGGCUCUAAAAUCAGUGGCGGCGCCGCUGGGUCCUGAACGUAGUAAUAUCUCUCGUUACAGGUUCUCGGUGUGCUUCUGCCAAAACCCAAAUUUUCUAUGGUUGACCUCGGAUCAGGUAGGGAUACCCGCUGAACUUAAGCAUAUCAAUAGCCCGGAGGAA
rnacentral:rRNA from 1 species